AAACAAACCAAAACCGCACUUACAUUGGGAAUUUCACAGGUAAUCAACUUCAACGAUGUGAUCAGCACAACUCAGGCCUGCCACCUCAUAGAAUGUGGACAUCAUGACUGAGAGCAAACCCAGGAGAACCACACAGCCUAGGCCCAUCAUUCCAGCAACACUGAGCCUUCUUUUCAGAUUUCCAGAGCUCUUCUUCAGCCACCUAAUAAAUAUAAAAAUGGCACUGCUUUUCUGUAUGCAGGUUCUCCAGCUCCUCCCUAAGUUGCUGAGCAUCUUGAAAGGACUGCUUCC